GACGAACGCUGGCGGCGUGCUUAACACAUGCAAGUCGAACGGAAAGGCCCUGCUUUUGUGGGGUGCUCGAGUGGCGAACGGGUGAGUAACACGUGAGUAACCUGCCCUUGACUUUGGGAUAACUUCAGGAAACUGGGGCUAAUACCGGAUAGGAGCUCCUGCUGCAUGGUGGGGGUUGGAAAGUUUCGGCGGUUGGGGAUGGACUCGCGGCUUAUCAGCUUGUUGGUGGGGUAGUGGCUUACCAAGGCUUUGACGGGUAGCCGGCCUGAGAGGGUGACCGGCCACAUUGGGACGGGGAUACGGCCCAGACUCCUACGGGAGGCAGCAGUGGGGAAUAUUGCACAAUGGGCGGAAGCCUGAUGCAGCAACGCCGCGUGCGGGAUGACGGCCUUCGGGUGGUAAACCGCUUUCGCCUGUGACGAAGCGUGAGUGACGGUAAUGGGUAAAGAAGCACCGGCUAACUACGU
rnacentral:rRNA from 1 species